rnacentral:rRNA from 1 species
AGAGUUUGAUCCAGGAUCAGGAUGAACGCUAGCGGCAGGCUUAAUACCCCCUUUACGAACGGUAAGUUUGGUAGCAAUACUGAACCUAGAGUGUCGUACGGGUGCGUAACACGUAUGCAACCUACCUUUUACAGGAGUAUAGCUCCCCGAAAGGGGAAUUAACCCUCCAUAAUAUCAUUGGAUGGCAUCAUUUGAUGAUUAAAACUGAGGUGGUAAAAAAUGGGCAUGCGUUUGAUUAGUUAGUUGGCAGUGUAACGGACUACCAAGACGAUGAUCAAUAGGGGACCUGAGAGGGUGAUCCCCCACACUGGCACUGAGAUACGGGCCAGACUCCUACGGGAGGCAGCAGUAGGGAAUAUUGGACAAUGGGUGAGAGCCUGAUCCAGCCAUGCCGCGUGCAGGAAGAAGGCGUUAUGCGUUGUAAACUGCUUUUGCCAGGGGAUAAAACGGUUCUGCGGAACUAAUUGAAGGUACCUGGUGAAUAAGCCACGGCUAACUACUUGCCAGCAGCCGCGGUAAU